GACGAACGCUGGCGGCGUGCUUAACACAUGCAAGUCGAACGAAGUGGAGAACGGGUGAGUAACGCGUAAGCAACAUGCCCUGCAGAGGGGGACAACAGUUGGAAAAGACAGCUAAUACGGCAUACGGAAGGAGGGGAUGGCGAGUGAUUAGCUAGGUGGGGGGGUAACGGCCAACCAAGGCGAGGAUCAGUAGCCGGUCUGGUAGGAUGAACGGCCACAUUGGGACUGGGGCACGGCCCAGACUCCUACGGGAGGCAGCAGUGGGGAAUCUUCCGCAAUGGACGAAAGUCUGACGGAGCAACGCCGCGUGAUGUGUGACGGCCUUCGGGUUGUAAAGCUCUGUUAAUCGGGACGCGGUACCGGAAUAGAAAGCCACGGCUAACUACGUGCCAGCAGCCGCGGUAAUAC
rnacentral:rRNA from 1 species